UGCAUGAGGAGAAUGUCUUCUUUCCCCGACUGACGGAGAUGCUGCAGUUUGUCACGUCUGAGC
rnacentral:snoRNA from 1 species